rnacentral:rRNA from 1 species
GAUGAGCGCUGGCGGCGUGCCUAAUACAUGCAAGUCGAGCGAACGGACGAGAAGCUUGCUUCUCUGAUGUUAGCGGCGGACGGGUGAGUAACACGUGGAUAACCUACCUAUAAGACUGGGAUAACUUCGGGAAACCGGAGCUAAUACCGGAUAAUAUUUUGAACCGCAUGGUUCAAAAGUGAAAGACGGUCUUGCUGUCACUUAUAGAUGGAUCCGCGCUGCAUUAGCUAGUUGGUAAGGUAACGGCUUACCAAGGCAACGAUGCAUAGCCGACCUGAGAGGGUGAUCGGCCACACUGGAACUGAGACACGGUCCAGACUCCUACGGGAGGCAGCGGUAGGGAAUCUUCCGCAAUGGGCGAAAGCCUGACGGAGCAACGCCGCGUGAGUGAUGAAGGUCUUCGGAUCGUAAAACUCUGUUAUUAGGGAAGAACAUAUGUGUAAGUAACUGCGCACAUCUUGACGGUACCUAAUCAGAAAGCCACGGCUAACUACGU